CUUUUCAUGUCAAUAAAACAAACUCCCAUCAAAGACCAAAAGCUGCACAUUUUUUGUUCUCUCUUAGCAUGGAAUAAAGUGAGUUUGUUUUCAAGGUUAACCUCCAUUUUUCAUACACCUCAUAACCACCCUCAUGUAAACCAUCACAACCUUAUCACCACAUCACCACCUCGUUUAUUUUCGGUUGCUCCAAACCACUACCAAAAGUCACCACAAACACCUUAACACUAUCGAACCUCUCACCAUUUUUUUUCUGCAGAAAAACUCCGCCGAAUUU
rnacentral:lncRNA from 1 species